AAUGCACCGGAUCCCAUCAGAACUCUGCAGUUAAGCGCGCUUGGGCUAGAGUAGUACUGGGAUGGGUGACCUCCCGGGAAGUCCUAGUGUUGCACCCU
rnacentral:rRNA from 1 species